rnacentral:sRNA from 1 species
UUCCGGUAGGUGAACCUGCGGAAGGAUCAUUAGUGAAUUUUAGGGUGCUUUGCUUUACCGCGAAGGCCUGACCUCCACUCUCUAACCCAUUGUGCAUCAAAAAUACAACCGAACUUUGUGAUAGACUGAAAGAGCUUAACCGCUUGAUUACGUUUUUUCACAGUGAGGUUUCACCUUUAAAACACCAAGUCAAAGAAUGUAAUACAAACCAAAACAAAAUAAAACUUUCAACAACGGAUCUCUUGGCUCUCGCAUCGAUGAAGAACGCAGCGAAAUGUGAUAAGUAAUGUGAAUUGCAGAAUUCAGUGAAUCAUCGAAUCUUUGAACGCACCUUGCGCUUUUUGGCAUUCCGAAAAGCAUGCCUGUUUGAGUGUCAUGAACUCUUCAACCCACCGGUUCCUUGUUGGAUCGAGUUGGUGUUUGGAUCUUGAAUGUUGCUGGCUUGAAGAAGAGUUUUAUUACUCUUUCGAUUAGCGAAGCUCGUUCGUAAUACAUUAGCAUCUCAAUUUCGAACUUCGGAUUGACUCAGCGUGAUAGACUAUUCGCUGAGGACAUGUUUAGGCAUGGCCGAAUCAAGAUAACUAGAAGCUUCUAAUCCCCCACUAGUCAAAACUAUAAGAUUAGACCUCAGAUCAGGCAGGAUUACCCGCUGAACUUAAGCAUAUCAAUAAGCGGAGGAAAAGAAACUAACAAGGAUUCCCCUAGUAACGGCGAGUGAAGCGGGAAGAGCUCAAAUUUGUAAUCUGGCACUUUCAGUGUCCGAGUUGUAAUCUCGAGAAGUGUUUUCCGCGCUGGACCGCAUACAAGUCUGUUGGAAUACAGCGUCAUAGUGGUGAGAACCCCGUAACUGAUGCGGACGCCCAGUGCUUUGUGAUACACUUUCGAAGAGUCGAGUUGUUUGGGAAUGCAGCUCAAAUUGGGUGGUAAAUUCCAUCUAAAGCUAAAUAUUGGCGAGAGACCGAUAGCGAACAAGUACCGUGAGGGAAAGAUGAAAAGCACUUUGGAAAGAGAGUUAACAGUACGUGAAAUUGUUGGAAGGGAAACGCUUGAAGUCAGACUUGCUUUUUGGAAUUCAGCCGCAAGGUGUACUUUUCAAUUUGGCAGGCCAGCAUCAGUUUUUGGGGGUGAAAAAGGGUAUAGAGAAGGUAGCAGUCUCGGCUGUGUUAUAGCUCUUUACUGGAUUCAUCCUUGGGGACUGAGGAACGCAGCACACUUUUUGCACGGUCUUCGGACUGUUCUGUGCUUAGGAUGCUGGUGGAAUGGCUUUAAACGACCCGUCUUGAAACACGGACCAAGGAGUCUAACAUGCUUGCGAGUGUUUGGGUGUCAAACCCGGACGCGCAAUGAAAGUGAAUGCAGGUGGGAACCGCAAGGUGCACCAUCGACCGAUCUGGAUCUUUUGAGAUGGAUUUGAGUAAGAGCAAUUAUGUUGGGACCCGAAAGAUGGUGAACUAUGCCUGAAUAGGGCGAAGCCAGAGGAAACUCUGGUGGAGGCUCGUAGCGGUUCUGACGUGCAAAUCGAUCGUCAAAUUUGGGUAUAGGGGCGAAAGACUAAUCGAACCAUCUAGUAGCUGGUUCCUGCCGAAGUUUCCCUCAGGAUAGCAGAAACUCACAUCAGUUCUAUGAGGUAAAGCGAAUGAUUAGAGGCCUUGGGGUUGAAACAACCUUAACCUAUUCUCAAACUUUAAAUAUGUAGGAAGUCCUUGCUUCUUAAUUGAGCGAGGACAUGCGAAUGAGAGUUA